AAUAAUGUCGCCGCAUUUAUCACAGUUACUGUAGUUUCCUGUCUUUUGAUUUGUUGUUUAUUUAUUUAUUUGUACCCGUGCGGAUAUAUUCAAAAGAAUCACCAUACCAUUUAAGGAAGGGCACUGAAGUUCCACUCCUACGUCAUCACCACGUUCAGAUGGGGCAUAAUGAUCUAAUGAGCUGAAAUCAACCAACCGGUGUUCCGUUCUAACUAAUCGUUAAUUCGUAGCGUCGCAUUCGCCAACGUAUAAAACAGCUCGAAUCGCUCUUCGCUGGCACAAGUGACUCGAAACUUGGUACACACCGUAGCACGUCUAUUCAGUGAGCGAAAUAGCAAGUGUCAUACACGUUGGCUACAGCUGUUUAAAAAGGCUUAUUAUCCGUCAUCUAUUACACGGUUAUUUCACAAGAAAUUUGAAGUCAUGCGUCAAGUCACAGUCAUCACCGCCGCUUUAAUGGCCAUGUGCCUGUUGAUACACUCUGUCAACGUUUCAGCAAAGUCAUCCAGACUACACUCUUACCAGAGCUCUGGCACGGCGAUGUUUGGAAAGAGAACAUCUGAUUAUAUAUCAUCAGUUGCGGAGAUAGACGAAUUGAUCACACAAUCUUUGGAAAAUCUACUCACGCUGAGAAAAGCAUUUGACGUACUCAUGGACAGAGCUGAAAACACCGCCGAUGUACAAGAAUAGAUAAUCUUUAUUCGUUUCCUUCUCGUCUAUGUGGUUUGCCUCGGAUAACAUUUUACUUUAUUUGCAAUAUCGGUGUGGUGCACGGCGCAGUUGGUCUAUUUCCCAAUCAUGAUUUACCUAUUGCUAGUAACGACGCCCUAGAACAGACCGGAUACCUUCGAGCAGUCGUACACAUUUGUCGCACGUUCUUAUUAAUUUAAACUCAAAAUUUCAUUUUGUUUUCAUGAUGUGUAUUUUUUAUUUGUCACUGGGCAGAAAUAAAGUGCACGCAAUGUAAAUAAUUUAUGACAAUGUUGUAGUUUAUGUCAAUAGUUUCAUCUAGAUUUUCAUGUUAAUUAAACAUAUCACUUCGA